GAUGAACGCUAGCGGCAGGCUUAACACAUGCAAGUCGAGGGGCAACACGGGUAGCAAUACCUGGUGGCGACCGGCGCAAGGGUGCGUAACGCGUGAGCAACAUGCCCUAUACAGGGGGAUAAUCCAGGGAAACUUGGUCUAAUAUCCCAUAGUAUUUAGAGGUGGCAUCACCACUAAAUUAAAGCUUCGGUGGUAUAGGAUUGGCUCGCGUGACAUUAGCUGGAUGGUGGGGUAACGGCUCACCAUGGCGAUGAUGUCUAGGGGUUCUGAGAGGAAGACCCCCCACACUGGGACUGAGACACGGCCCAGACUCCUACGGGAGGCAGCAGUGAGGAAUAUUGGACAAUGGAUGGAAUCUGAUCCAGCCAUGCCGCGUGCAGGAAGACGGCCCUAUGGGUUGUAAACUGCUUUUAUAUGGGAGCAAUAAGGUUUACGCGUAGACCGAUGAGAGUACCAUAUGAAUAAGCAUCGGCUAACUCCGUG
rnacentral:rRNA from 1 species